CCUACGGGAGGCAGCAGUGAGGAAUAUUGGUCAAUGGACGAGAGUCUGAACCAGCCAAGUAGCGUGAAGGAUGACUGCCCUAUGGGUUGUAAACUUCUUUUAUAUGGGAAUAAAACGUUCCACGUGUGGGAUUUUGUAUGUACCAUAUGAAUAAGGAUCGGCUAACUCUGUGCCAGCAGCCGCGGUAACACGGAGGAUCCGAGCGUUAUCCGGAUUUAUUGGGUUUAAAGGGAGCGUAGGUGGAUUGUUAAGUCAGUUGUGAAAGUUUGCGGCUCAACCGUAAAAUUGCAGUUGAAACUGGCAGUCUUGAGUACAGUAGAGGUGGGCGGAAUUCGUGGUGUAGCGGUGAAAUGCUUAGAUAUCACGAAGAACUCCGAUUGCGAAGGCAGUUCACUGGACUGCAACUGACACUGAGGCUCGAAAGUGUGGGUAUCAAACAGGAUUAGAUACCCUGGUAGUC
rnacentral:rRNA from 1 species